rnacentral:rRNA from 1 species
UACGUAGGGUGCGAGCGUUAAUCGGAAUUACUGGGCGUAAAGUGUGCGCAGGCGGCUCCGCAAGUCGAGUGUGAAAUCCCCGAGCUUAACUUGGGAAUUGCGCUCGAAACUACGGAGCUGGAGUGUGGCAGAGGAAGGUGGAAUUCCACGUGUAGCGGUGAAAUGCGUAGAGAUGUGGAGGAACACCAAUGGCGAAGGCAGCCUUCUGGGCCAACACUGACGCUCAUGCACGAAAGCGUGGGGAGCAAACAGG